GAUGAACGCUGGCGGCGUGCCUAAUACAUGCAAGUCGAGCGAAUGGAUUAAGAGCUUGCUCUUAUGAAGUUAGCGGCGGACGGGUGAGUAACACGUGGGUAACCUGCCCAUAAGACUGGGAUAACUCCGGGAAACCGGGGCUAAUACCGGAUAACAUUUUGAACCGCAUGGUUCGAAAUUGAAAGGCGGCUACGGCUGUCACUUAUGGAUGGACCCGCGUCGCAUUAGCUAGUUGGUGAGGUAACGGCUCACCAAGGCAACGAUGCGUAGCCGGCCUGAGGGGGUGAACGGCCACACUGGGACUGAGACACGGCCCAGACUCCUACGGGAGGCAGCAGUAGGGAAUCUUCCGCAAUGGACGAAAGUCUGACGGAGCAACGCCGCGUGAGUGAUGAAGGCUUUCGGGUCGUAAAACUCUGUUGUUAGGGAAGAACAAGUGCUAGUUGAAUAAGCUGGCACCUUGACGGUACCUAACCAGAAAGCCACGGCUAACUACGUGCCAGCCGCCGCCGUAA
rnacentral:rRNA from 1 species